GUAGUGCAUGCCUGUAAUCCCAGUACUCAGGAGCAUGAGGCAGGUCCAAAGCCAGCCUGAGCCGAACUCAAAACAAUAAGACAACAAAAAAAGGUUUUAUUUUUGGCUAAUUUUGUGAUAUUUUACAUUGUUAGAUCCCUAUCUUCCUCACCUAUCAUUCUUUCUGUGGCCCUUUCUUCUUAGUAGUUGAGUCCCCAAGUAGUUUUUUUCUUUGACUACUGGCUUUUCCAGUUUGUUUUUCAAUUAAAUUUUUACACAUGUACAGAGGGAGAAAGAAUUUUUUUUAAAACAGUUGACUUAGCAAUUACCCCAAAGUGCAACCUUUUGUUACAUUGGAGCCUUUGAAUAUUUGAAUGCAUCUGUCAUUGUGUACUAGUGUGGGUAGAUUGCUAGAAGAAUUAUUGAGUCAGAGGCCAAGUGUAUUCAUAAAUUUCUGAUGCAUUCGUUGCAAAUGUCAGAUUGUUCCAUUAGAAAAGUGGCCUGUGUCAUGAUAUACCCUCAGUUCCAGGCAGUUUGUGGAAGCACUGUAGUUCAUAUGGGAGCAGGUUUAAGGAAACUUUGAAUUGAAAGAUCUAUAUAGAAGGGAAAUGCUGGAUGCUGGGUGUAAUGGUUGCCCUAGUGUGUGUGUGUGUGUGUGUGUGUGUGUGUGUGUAGAGAGAGAGAGAGAACAGAGACAGAGAAGUAGGAAGUAAAGGGAGAAAAGGAGUACAUGUGCUGUUAUCCACCUGCCUGCUUAGCCGAGAGAACUGGAGUGUGGAUGUCAUCUCAGUGUUGGGGGGAAGUGGGCAGCUCUAUCUUAUCAGCUUCCAGCCCUCUUACUGAUGACUGACUUCUUUAUCUGCCCAUGUAGCCUUUGUUCUGAAAUAUCUGCUAAACAUGGAAGUAAGUUUGCUGAGGUCUCUGUCUUGUAGGCUCAGAAAUGAAGAAAUUAUUUUCACCACGAACAGGGCAAAUGUGUACACUAGACAGUGCAGCUUCUAAACUGACCUUAGUUCACUUUCUAUUACUAAGUUCAUAGGAUUUGAAACACCUUUGGAUUAGGCCAUGUUCUGUUAUUAUAGCCAAAUACCUGAGGCGGAGUGUCUUUAAACUAGAGCAGGUUAAUUUAGUUUACAGUUCUGGAGAGUCAAGGGUGUGCAUCACCUUGACUCUGGUGGAGAUCUCCUGGAAGAUGGCAGUAUGAUGGUGGGAGCAUGUAUAAGAAGAGAGGUCUCAUUGUUAAGUGGUAGCCAGGCUCAGUUUCAUGACAACUAACGCACAGUCUCAGAAUAUUACCUUAGUCCCUUCUAAGAGUACCACCACCAUUUUCCUACUUACCAUUCACUAAGCCUCACCUCUUAAGUUUCACCACUUCAAUGCCACCACACUCAGGACCAAGGUUCUAACACACAAACUUUUGUGGGUCACGCACCAAAUUCAGACCCCAGCAGUGCCUUCUACAGCCCCAAUAGAACUGCUACUUGUCUUUCCUGAGAAUUGGUGUUUUUUCUGUUUUUUUAAUUAAGCCAAGUUAUAUUUCAGAUUUUGUGUUUGAGCCAAUUUUUGACUAGGGAACUCCAUCAAUGUUAGCAUGUGAUUUUAGAAUGUUUUUAGUAUGUGGCAGUGACAUUAUUUUUCCAGGGUGUGGUGCUUUCAUAGUUCCAAAAGUUGCAGGGAGGCCCUCUUAAGUCUGAAAUUGCUCCUGAAGAUGUUGAGCCUCUGCUUCGCCAGGGGUGCAAGUAGUAGCCUCUGGAGCAUCUUUGCUGGUGAGAGUUGUGCUUACAUAUGCUUUUUUGGGUCCCAUGGCUGGUGGGAGAGUCUGGGUUCCACAUGGGGUUCAUUGCAUGCACUAUGUUCUGGAACCCUUGCAGAUGAGAAGAAAGUUCAGACAACAACAGCCACUCAACCAGUUUGUGGAGUCAGCAAGGAAGCUGGAGUUGGUGUCUCUGAGGCCCUGGGCUUUCCUUGAUUAGGCUCAUUUUUACUGCUGGGUUCCUUACCCCUUGAGGGUGUAUUCUGUCCUUUUUGGGUCCCAGAACAUUAUCUUGCCCACCUCUUCCUGAAUGCCCUGGGACUAGAACCCAAAUCUUUCUUUCCAAAGUCUGCUUCAGCCAAGUCUCUUGAAGAAAAAAAUAUUAAAAAAUAUUCAGAUACUAAUGUGUGGCAAAUAUACCACAGCAUCAGGCCCCCAGCAUUCUUCUAGCAUUGGUGAUGUCCUACACCAACAGAAUGGAGACUUUCAGGUAUUGUAGGGAAGAAGAGUUUGGAGGCAGCUUUAGGUGUUGGCAUGGGUAGCACCUCAGACUUCAUGGGGUUGCUGGCUGUGUUCUCCUCUGAGAGCAGUGAGCUACUAGAAGACAGUGCUAAGUCCCUCCAGUCCUGGUGCCUCUUCUUACUUAUUAAUAAUGAGUUAUAUAAAUAAGUGCUUUCCCUCUUUGCCUCUCUAGUGCCAUUACUUCCUUCAAGUCUCUAAAGCCAUUGGUGGCUGAAUUUUAUCACCCAGUGUGUGUCUAACCCUGGAUUGGGAAGUUAAGUUAAAGAGGUUGCAUUAUUUUAUCUUUGUAGCAGCCUUUGCAGGACUUUCUUGUCCUCACUUUGCCAUUUGUGGAAACAUUCUUGGAAAGAUACCAAGUUCUUCACAUACACAGAUGUUCCUAUAUUUUAGGGUAGGGAUGGGAAGAAUGCAUUCGACACAUCAAACCUACCAAACAUAGCUUAGCAACAUUAGUACACUGAAUUAUCUAUUACAUACCAACUAGCCUGAGAAAAGACCCACAUUUAAAAUAACAAGUACAGUUUACUGAAUGCAUAUUCCUUUUGUACCUUCAACUCAAAAAUCCAAAAGUCAAGCCAUCAUAAGGCUGAGACUAUUUCAUCAUUGAUCCUUGUAACAGUUGUGUAGUUAAAAUAUUUGCAUGCUCAGAUUGCCACCCGAGUCUUGGCAGCAGGUAAUCUCCUGUCUUGGUUAUACUGCUGAAGUGAAAUAGCUAAGACGUGCCAGUUCAGACUAAGAUCUGCCAGGCUUUGAAUCUCCAAGUCUCUGCUCCUAACUACCUGGCUUAUAAGUUCUACCCAAGAUGCCCCAGCUGGUGCACAGGCAAGUAUUCUUUAGUUUAGACACAUAAGCCAUGGGAACUUCGCUUGGUUUAUUGGGAAAGCUCAUGAGAAGGAGAUUGACGCUGACAGUUGAGCUAUAUAUCAAUAUUGGAAAACAGGGUGGCUUUUAUGAUGUCCUGUGCCCAACUGUGUGUUCUGUGAGUGGUAAGUACACUUCACCCUGGAGCUGUCAGGUAGACGUUUAGUAUAGACUUCUUGCUGCAUAGCACAUCCUGUCACAUGACUUGAUUUUGGUCUCUUAGACCCCGUAGUCAUACGCCAUUCUAAAUCAUGUUAAAUAUCGGUCAAAUGCA